ensembl:lncRNA
AAAUGUAUGCUUUAUGAUAUUGGAUUUCAGGCUUUGCCUACAGAUCCCAGUAUAGCCACGUUGUGAACUGAUCUGGAUCACAUGUGAGCAUUUGCAGCCUAUGCUCUCUGCACCAUUUAUACCCAUUCUUUCCUGGGCUCCACCCUGCUUCCUACUUGGCCUUCUGGUGAUCUGAGGGAAGAGGUGUCAUAAUAUGCUAGCUGAAUUCGAGAAGAGAGAGGCCAAGAGCAGGAUUCCCAAAAGAGGGAGCCAAAGAGAAAAGUUCUCCUAGCUCUAUUUAGAGCACCUUUCUUCUUCCCACCUGUGAUAAUGGAGGCCUCCUUGUGCCAUUGGAGUUCAUUUAACCCUUAACUUGUAUUAUCACUUCUUCAAGGUGAAAUUAUAAGGGAGCUUUUGAAAUUUCUGAGAUCAGCUGGUUCUUAAGCUUUGAGAACCUGAUGAAAACUGUUAGCCAUCUCUCCAGAAAGAUACAUUUACAUAUUUCACACACACACUGAAAUCCAUUAAGGGGUCCCAGGUUAAGAAUCCUGGUUUAAAGGUUAAAGCAGUGCUUCUCAACCUUUUUUCAUAUCAUGACAUCCAUAGAAAUGAUAUUGUUCAGCACACUGGGAUAAAUUAGAGGGGAUUUGGAGGCAACAAUAUGGGGCUUGGUGAAAAAAGUUAUUUUCUUUUUAUAAUUAUAAUGAGAAAAAUAACAAACAUAUUUAAGGGUGAUAUUAAAUAUUGAAUUUGUAUAAGCUUCCAAAUAAAGUCUCUCAAAAAUUUAAUGAAAAACCCGAGAUUGCCUCUAUAAACAUGACAUUUUCUAUGUAGGGUUUUAUGACCGAAAUGACUGCAUGUAAUUUCUGAACAAGACAGUUUAACAGUGAUCAAUUAGUAGUCAUUAUUGAUGAGAAUUUAGUUCAUACAAGUAGGUGAUAAAUUUAAAAUAAUUUUCACAACUAUUCAGAAUUUGCAAGUAUAAAUUAUGUGUGACUCCAGUAGCUCUUACUUUUUUCCCACUAGAAAAUGUAAUGUGGUAAUAUCUUAUGAUAGCAUGACUGGAUUUAGAAUCCACUCAAACUUUUUCAUAUUAAGUAUAUUUUACAAAAUAAUGACAAAACUCCCAUUUGCAGGGUAGGACUGUGUUAUGAGAGCAAUAAUUCUGCAGCUAACUUGGAUGUAACUAAAAGGGCACAUCAGCCAUAAACAAAGGGAAGAAUUCAAUAUAUAUGAAGAGAGAUUAAGAGCUGAGUCCAUGAGGAGUAUCUGGCAGACUUCCCUGCCUUUCCUGGCCACACCUUAGGCUCUGAGUCCUGCUCCUUGAGUGCCUGGAGCAUGCACUCCUCCAGCAGCUCCAAGGUUCAGUGUUUAUGAUGAGCAGCAAUACACACCGCAACUGGCCUCUGAAAGUGAUGUCUUAGAGAUAGAACAUUCCUUUGCUUUCUUCUUUAUUAGAGGAUACUUGCUUUAAUAAAGCAAGUCCUCCAUUGUGUUUGCCUCCUGUGGAACCAUGGGGCACACUGGGACGGAUCAUCAGACUCUGAUUCUUUGGGUUACUCUUUGAGAAUCCUUAAGUCAAACUGCUUCUGGCCAGGGGUGAAUUAUGUAGAGGCACCAACCACCAUACUCCUUUCAGGCCACUCCUAGGGCUGAAUAGAUAACUAUCUUGCAGUACGUCUGUAACUCAUUGAUCACAGGCUAAAUGAAGUAUGUCAUUUAAAAGACUGUAUAGCUAAGCUUGUUAAAAUGUGGGGGGGAAAUCAUUCUUGACUGUAUAGCUAAGCUUGUUAAAAUGUGGGGGGAGGAAAUCUUUAUAAUCCAACCCCUUACAUUUGAAAUGACUAGUUACAAAUUAUAAAACAAGUAGAAAUAUAUAGAGAUAGAAUAUAAAAUAGCUAAGAGUGAGUGGAGUAUGAUUGAGUCAUGUAUUGCCUCUACCUGGUUGUAAUUCUUCUUAAAUUUUAAUAAUCUUAUACUAACUUUAUUGAUAGUGUCCAGAUAGGAGAUAAAAUUCACACCAGUUAUUUGAACAGAUAAUUUAACAAGAAUUGUUAACUAGGUAUGAAGUUAAGUAAGUGACUGAAAAACUGAAAAGAGAAAUCUAAGGUGUGACAGAGGUAGCAACUGUUAUUACCUUU